rnacentral:lncRNA from 1 species
GACUCUGGAUUCUCCAGAGGCCCUAGUUCCAAAAGGCCUAGUACCCUGGCCUUUUCUAUCAGAGAAAAGAUCCUGCCCCAACCCUAUCCUCAGGACUUCAGCCCAGUGGAAACUGAGAAGUUAUCUUGCUGACCCGGCCUCUUGGAGGAGACCCUGAUCCCUAGCCUUGGAAUCCUGCCUUUUUACCCUUGACAGCUCUGCCUACCCCGCAGCCGUUUGACUUCAGGUGCUGGAAUUAAAGGCAUGGGUCACCAUUACCCAACUGGAUUAAACAUUCUUGAUUAACCUUAAGUAAAAGCAAUAACGUGUAACCAUGAGGAAAUGUUUCACAAGACAGAGAUUCAGGCUUCAGACCCACUUUUCCAUGCGACUGAAGACAGCAGCAGUUUUACUUCUCGGUGCCGUUUGAAAGAAGCCUAGACAAGAGCGGCAUCUUGCAGAAGGAAGGUGUCUCAGUGGGAAAGUGCUUCCUUAAUAGGCAUCCCAGUCCUGUUUUCCAUCCUCAGCACUAUGAGACAAGCAACCAAACACAAAACAAGGACACCUACUCCAAAGGUAGACAGGAAAUUCGCCCCAACAGAAAGGUGUGUGGUUCAACAAUGUCCACAGCAGCUCCGAGCCUACAGGGGAGUAGUGGUUGUCAAUUUGUGCUUUGGCUUGACUUCCUUCCAGCAGAGGUCACUGUGGAUGCUGGCAGUGGACACUUUAGGGAAAAGGAUCAGGUAGGCUUGGCUGACUGGAGUUUCCACUGCCUGGUUCUUUCACAGUCCAUAAUCUAUCCCCUUAAUUUAUGUGAAGGAGAUAAUCUUGAAGCGACCUGAAAAAACUUUGUGGUAAAAGCGAUGGUGGUAGGGAAACUUAGGUCAGUGGCUGGGACUAAUAAGGCUGAGAGGGCUGCAUUCAUCUUCUAGGAAUAUUAAGACAGAGUCUCAUUAUAUAGUUCAGGCUGACCUCUAACUCGUGGCAAUCCUCCUGCCUCAACCUUUCAAGUGCGGGAUUAUAGGCUUGUGGCCACCAUUACUGGCUUG